rnacentral:rRNA from 1 species
CUAACACAUGCAAGUCGAGCGAGAAGCUACCUAUAAUCCUUCGGGAGAUUAGACUAGUGGACAGCGGCGGACGGGUGAGUAACGCGUAAAUAACCUGCCAUACACACAAGGAUAGCCAUCGGAAACGGUGAUUAAUACUUGAUGAAGCUACACAUUCGCAUGAAUGAGUAGUUAAAGAAUUUUGGUGUAUGAUGGAUUUGCGUUUGAUUAGCUAGUUGGUAAGGUAAAGGCUUACCAAGGCAAUGAUCAAUAGCCGGCCUGAGAGGGUGAACGGCCACACUGGAACUGAGACACGGUCCAGACUCCUACGGGAGGCAGCAGUGGGGAAUAUUGCACAAUGGAGGAAACUCUGAUGCAGCAACGCCGCGUGAACGAAGAAGGCUUUCGAGUCGUAAAGUUCUGUUAUAGGGGAAGAAGAAGUGACGGUACCCUAUGAGAAAGCCACGGCUAAUUACGUGCCAGCAGCCGCGGUAAUACGUAAGUGGCAAGCGUUAUCCGGAAUUACUGGGCAUAAAGCGUACGUAGGCGGUUAAACAAGCCAAUAGUGAAAUCCACCAGCCUAACUGGUGUCAGCUAAUGGAACUGUAUAACUUGAGUAACAGGAGAGGAAAGUGGAAUUCCUAGUGUAGUAGUGAAAUGCGUAGAUAUUAGGAAGAACAUCAGUAGCGAAGGCGACUUUCUGGACUGUAACUGACGCUGAGGAACGAAAGCGUGGGGAGCGAACAGGAUUAGAUAACC